GGAAUAUUGCACAAUGGGGGAAACCCUGAUGCAGCAACGCCGCGUGAGUGAAGAAGGCCCUUGGGUUGUAAAGCUCUUUAGCGAGGGAAGAGGGUAGACACGGUGAAUAAUCGUGUUUGCUGACGGUACCUCGAAAAUAAGCACCGGCUACUUUCGUGCCAGCAGCCGCGGUAAUACGAAAGGUGCAAGCGUUACUCGGAAUCACUGGGCGUAAAGCGCACGUAGGCGGACUUACAGGUCAAUUGUGAAAUACCUGGGCUCAACCCAGGAACUGCAGUUGAAACCGUUUGUCUUGAAUACCUGAGAGGGUGGGGGAAUACCUGGUGGAGAAGUGAAAUUCGUAGAGAUCAGGUGGAACACCGGAGGCGAAGGCGCCUGCCUGGCAGUGUAUUGACGCUGAGGUGCGAAAGUGCGGGGAGCAAAC
rnacentral:rRNA from 1 species